GCCGCAGUAGCUCAUUGGGAGAGCGCUCGUCUGAAAAGCGAGAGGUAGAGAGUUCGAUCCUCUCCUGCGGCACCA
rnacentral:tRNA from 1 species